CAGCAGCCGCGGUAAUACGUAGGUGGCAAGCGUUGUCCGGAAUUAUUGGGCGUAAAGCGCGCGCAGGCGGUCCUUUAAGUCUGAUGUGAAAGCCCACGGCUCAACCGUGGAGGGUCAUUGGAAACUGGGGGACUUGAGUGCAGAAGAGGAAAGCGGAAUUCCACGUGUAGCGGUGAAAUGCGUAGAGAUGUGGAGGAACACCAGUGGCGAAGGCGGCUUUCUGGUCUGUAACUGACGCUGAGGCGCGAAAGCGUGGGGAGCAAACAGGAUUAGAUACCCUGGUAGUCCACGCCGUAAACGA
rnacentral:rRNA from 1 species